rnacentral:rRNA from 1 species
CCUACGGGAGGCAGCAGUGAGGAAUAUUGGUCAAUGGGCGAGAGCCUGAACCAGCCAAGUCGCGUGAAGGAUGACGGCCCUACGGGUUGUAAACUUCUUUUGUCAGGGAGCAAUUGAGUCCACGUGUGGGCUUAGCGAGAGUACCUGAAGAAAAGGCAUCGGCUAACUCCGUGCCAGCAGCCGCGGUAAUACGGGGGAUGCGAGCGUUAUCCGGAUUUAUGGGGUUUAAAGGGUGCGUAGGCGGAAGAUCAAGUCAGCGGUAAAAAUUCGGGGCUAAACCCCGUCGUGCCGUUGAAACUGAUGUUCUUGAGUGGGCGAGAAGUAUGCGGAAUGCGUGGUGUAGCGGUGAAAUGCAUAGAGAUCACGCAGAACUCCGAUUGCGAAGGCAGCAUACCGGCGCCCAACUGACGCUGAAGCACGAAAGCGUGGGUAUCGAACAGGAUUAGAUACCCCUGUAGUC